rnacentral:rRNA from 1 species
CCCUUAGAUGUUCUGGGCCGCACGCGUGCUACACUGAGUGGAUCAGCGGGUCAGGUUGCGCGAAAGUGUUUCCUAAUCUUGAAAUCCGCUCGUGAUGGGGAUUGACGGUUGCAAUUUUCCGUCAUGAACGAGGAAUACCUUGUAAGCGCGGGUCAUCAUCCCGCGCUGAAUACGUCCCUGCCCUUUGUACACACCGCCCGUCGCUCCUACCGAUUGAGUGGUCCGGUGAGGCUUUGGGAUCUGAGCGGAAAGAGCGUUUCGCUGUUUCUGCUCGGAAAACUCAGUCGAACCUUAUCAUUUAGAGGAAGGAGAAGUAGUAACA